UGAUCCUACGGGAGGCAGCAGUCGGGAAUAUUGCGCAAUGGAGGAAACUCUGACGCAGUGACGCCGCGUGCAGGAAGAAGGUUUUCGGAUUGUAAACUGCUUUAGACAGGGAAGAAACAAGACAGUACCUGUAGAAUAGCUCCGGCUAACUACGUGCCAGCAGCCGCGGUAAUACGUAGGGAGCAAGCGUUAUCCGGAUUUAUUGGGUUUAAAGAGUGCGCAGGCGGAUUUUUAAGUCAGCGGUCAAAUCGUGGGGCUCAACCCCAUCCAGCCGUUGAAACUGGGGAUCUAGAGUGUGCGAGAGG
rnacentral:rRNA from 1 species